AGUGAACGCUGGCGGUAGGCCUAACACAUGCAAGUCGAACGGCAGCACAGUAAGAGCUUGCUCUUACGGGUGGCGAGUGGCGGACGGGUGAGGAAUACAUCGGAAUCUACUUUUUCGUGGGGGAUAACGUAGGGAAACUUACGCUAAUACCGCAUACGACCUACGGGUGAAAGCAAGGGAUCUUCGGACCUUUCGCGAUUGAAUGAGCCGAUUUCGGAUUACCUAGUUGGCGGGGUAAAGGCCCACCAAGGCGACGAUACGUAGCUGGUCUGAGAGGAUGAUCAGCCACACUGGAACUGAGACACGGUCCAGACUCCUACGGGAGGCAGCAGUGGGGAAUAUUGGACAAUGGGCGCAAGCCUGAUCCAGCCAUACCGCGUGGGUGAAGAAGGCCUUCGGGUUGUAAAGCCCUUUUGUUGGGAAAGAAAAGCAGCAGGUUAAUACCCCGCUGUUCUGACGGUACCCAAAGAAUAAGCACCGGCUAACUUCGUG
rnacentral:rRNA from 1 species